UACGAAGGGGGCUAGCGUUGCUCGGAAUUACUGGGCGUAAAGCGCACGUAGGCGGCUUUCUAAGUCGGGGGUGAAAUCCUGGAGCUCAACUCCAGAACUGCCUCGAUACUGGAAAGCUCGAGUCCGGGAGAGGUGAGUGGAACUGCGAGUGUAGAGGUGAAAUUCGUAGAUAUUCGCAAGAACACCAGUGGCGAAGGCGGCUCACUGGCCCGGUACUGACGCUGAGGUGCGAAAGCGUGGGGAGCAACAGG
rnacentral:rRNA from 1 species